UUUGAUCAUGGCUCAGAUUGAACGCUGGCGGCAAGGCCUAACACAUGCAAGUCGAGCGGCAGCACUUCGGGUGGCGAGCGGCGAACGGGUGAGUAAUACAUGGGAAUCUGCCUGGUAGUGGGGGAUAACUCUGGGAAACUAGAGGUAAUACCGCAUACGGCCCUACGGGGGGAAAGCGGGGGGAUCUUCGGACCUCGCGCUAUCAGAGGAGCCCAUGUCCGAUUAGCUAGUUGGUGAGGUAAAGGCUCACCAAGGCGACGAUCGGUAACUGGUCUGAGAGGAUGGUCAGUCACACUGGAACUGAGACACGGUCCAGACUCCUACGGGAGGCAGCAGUGGGGAAUAUUGGACAAUGGGGGCAACCCUGAUCCAGCCAUGCCGCGUGUGUGAAGAAGGCCUUCGGGUUGUAAAGCACUUUAAGCAGGGAGGAAGGCUCGCAGAUUAAUAAUCUGCGGAAGUGACGUUACCUGCAGAAUAAGCACCGGCUAACUACGUG
rnacentral:rRNA from 1 species